rnacentral:rRNA from 1 species
GACGAACGCUGGCGGCGUGCUUAACACAUGCAAGUCGAACGGAAAGGCCAUGCUUUUGUGGGGUGCUCGAGUGGCGAACGGGUGAGUAACACGUGAGUAACAUGCCCUUGACUUUGGGAUAACUUCAGGAAACUGGGGCGAAUACCGGAUAGGAGCUCCUGCUGCAUGGGGGGGGAUGGAAAGUUUCGGCGGUUGGGGAUAGACUCGCGGCUUAUCAGCUUGUUGGUGGGGUAGUCGCGGUCCAAGGCUUUGACGGGUAGCCGGCCUGAGAGGGUGACCGGCCACAAUACGACUGAGAUACGGCCCAGACUCCUACGGGAGGCAGCAGUGGGGAAUAUUACACAAUAGGCGGAAGCCUGAUGCAGCAACGCCGCGUGCGGGAUGACGUCCUUCGAGUUGUAAACCGCUUUCGCCGGUGACGAAGCGUGAGUGACGGUAAUGGGUAAAGAAGCACCGGCUAACUACGUG